CUCUUUCCUGCCAGUAACCAGCCUGGGCCGUGGUGCUAUCCUCUCAAAUCACACAUUUCCACUAGAAGAAUGUGUUUUGUUUGGAGCAUGAAGCCAGGAUGCAGUUUUGUUUCUGAACCACAAGUACAAUUACUUCAAAGCACAGAGUCAAACACUAACCUCCAACCAUACAAGAGAGGCACCAAUUACUUCCUGAAGGUCUACAAUAAAGCCAGCUCUUGGGAGUUCCUCACUAGAACUGUUCCCAAUUCAACCUCCUUUGGCAAACUGUCAGAAGACAGUUAACACAGUUCUGGAGCUGUCACCAUGGGCCAGCA